AGAGUUUGAUCCUGGCUCAGGACGAACGCUGGCGGCAUGCCUAAUACAUGCAAGUAGAACGCUGAAGAGAGGAGCUUGCUCUUCUUGGAUGAGUUGCGAACGGGUGAGUAACGCGUAGGUAACCUGCCUUGUAGCGGGGGAUAACUAUUGGAAACGACAGCUAAUACCGCAUAACAAUGGAUGACACAUGUCAUUUAUUUGAAAGGGGCAAUUGCUCCACUACAAGAUGGACCUGCGUUGUAUUAGCUAGUAGGUGAGGUAACGGCUCACCUAGGCGACGAUACAUAGCCGACCUGAGAGGGUGAUCGGCCACACUGGGACUGAGACACGGCCCAGACUCCUACGGGAGGCAGCAGUAGGGAAUCUUCGGCAAUGGGGGCAACCCUGACCGAGCAACGCCGCGUGAGUGAAGAAGGUUUUCGGAUCGUAAAGCUCUGUUGUAAGUCAAGAACGAGUGUGAGAGUGGAAAGUUCACACUGUGACGGUAGCUUACCAGAAAGGGACGGCUAACUACGUGCCAGCAGCCGCGGUAAUACGUAGGUCCCGAGCGUUGUCCGGAUUUAUUGGGCGUAAAGCGAGCGCAGGCGGUUUGAUAAGUCUGAAGUUAAAGGCUGUGGCUCAACCAUAGUUCGCUUUGGAAACUGUCAAACUUGAGUGCAGAAGGGGAGAGUGGAAUUCCAUGUGUAGCGGUGAAAUGCGUAGAUAUAUGGAGGAACACCGGUGGCGAAAGCGGCUCUCUGGUCUGUAACUGACGCUGAGGCUCGAAAGCGUGGGGAGCGAACAGGAUUAGAUACCCUGGUAGUCCACGCCGUAAACGAUGAGUGCUAGGUGUUGGAUCCUUUCCGGGAUUCAGUGCCGCAGCUAACGCAUUAAGCACUCCGCCUGGGGAGUACGACCGCAAGGUUGAAACUCAAAGGAAUUGACGGGGGCCCGCACAAGCGGUGGAGCAUGUGGUUUAAUUCGAAGCAACGCGAAGAACCUUACCAGGUCUUGACAUCCCGAUGCUAUUUCUAGAGAUAGAAAGUUACUUCGGUACAUCGGUGACAGGUGGUGCAUGGUUGUCGUCAGCUCGUGUCGUGAGAUGUUGGGUUAAGUCCCGCAACGAGCGCAACCCCUAUUGUUAGUUGCCAUCAUUCAGUUGGGCACUCUAGCGAGACUGCCGGUAAUAAACCGGAGGAAGGUGGGGAUGACGUCAAAUCAUCAUGCCCCUUAUGACCUGGGCUACACACGUGCUACAAUGGUUGGUACAACGAGUUGCGAGUCGGUGACGGCAAGCUAAUCUCUUAAAGCCAAUCUCAGUUCGGAUUGUAGGCUGCGACUCGCCUACAUGAAGUCGGAAUCGCUAGUAAUCGCGGAUCAGCACGCCGCGGUGAAUACGUUCCCGGGCCUUGUACUCACCGCCCGUCA
rnacentral:rRNA from 1 species